GACAAACAUCAAUUGAGACAGUUUUUGCAACCCAUGAUUUGAAAUGAUUUGGCGUUUAACGGAGACAAUCCAGAAAGAAAAAGCACUUGACCAAUGGGGGUCUAAAACAUUUUUGUACCCGGGGACCCUGCGUGAUAUUUAGACAGUCCUGGCUGCAUUGCAUGGGAUUUGCUCACUACGUCAAAAUGCCAGAGUGGACACUUGCAGAUCUGCGUCGAACUCAGGGGUGUUGCUGAUGACAUUACUGUACACGCCAGUUAUCGGAAACCUGCGACCCCUGGGUUACCUAUUGAUAUUAAUUUAUCUUAUCUGUAUAAUGCUUUUAUGUUCUGUAUUCUAAAAUAGUGUGUAAUUUAUAAUGUAAGUGAUAAGACAUACCAGCAAAAAAUUUUGUAAAAAAAAUUACCAACCACUAAUGCACACUAAUGGGUGGUUCAGUGUUAUAUGGCCACAAUCGAGUGAAGAAUAAAUAAAUAAAUCAUUCUACAGAU